rnacentral:rRNA from 1 species
GACGAACGCUGGCGGCGUGCCUAAUACAUGCAAGUCGAACGCACUCUCGUUUAGAUUGAAGGAGCUUGCUCCUGAUUGAUAAACAUUUGAGUGAGUGGCGGACGGGUGAGUAACACGUGGGUAACCUGCCCUAAAGUGGGGGAUAACAUUUGGAAACAGAUGCUAAUACCGCAUAAAACCUAAACACCGCAUGGUGUAGGGUUGAAAGAUGGUUUCGGCUAUCACUUUAGGAUGGACCCGCGGUGCAUUAGUUAGUUGGUGAGGUAAAGGCUCACCAAGACCGUGAUGCAUAGCCGACCUGAGAGGGUAAUCGGCCACACUGGGACUGAGACACGGCCCAGACUCCUACGGGAGGCAGCAGUAGGGAAUCUUCCACAAUGGACGAAAGUCUGAUGGAGCAACGCCGCGUGAGUGAAGAAGGUUUCGGAUCGUAAAACUCUAGUUGUUGGAGAAGAAUGUAUCUGAUAGUAACUGAUCAGGUAGUGACGGUAUCCAACCAG